CAAGAACUGUACUGGGGAAAGGAUUGGGCCCAGACUAGGAAGGAGACUAGUCUGUGAAAGAGGCUUAUUGGACCAUCUGUGAGGGUGAGAGGUUACCUGUAAUCAGUUUCUUAAUACAAGCAAGUCUAAG